UUUUUUUUUUUUUUUUAAGAUUUAUUUAUUUAUUAUUAUAUGUACGUAUACCGUAGCUGUCUUCAGAUGCACCAGAAGAGGGUGUCAGACCUCAUCACGGGUGGUUGUGAGCCACCAUGUGGUUGCUGGGAUUUGAACUCAGGACCUUCGGAAGAGCAGUCAGUGCUCUUACCCGCUGAGCCACCUUUCCAGCCCCCACAGUUUUUUUUUAAAGACAUUUAUUUAUUUUAUAUAUGUGAGUACAUUGUGUAGCUAUCUUCAGACACACCAGAAGAGAGCAUCAGAUCCCAUUACAGAUGGUUGUGAGCCAUCAUGUGGUUGCUGGGAAUUGAACUCAGAACCCCUGGAAGAGCAGCCAGUGCUCUUAACCGCUGAGCCAUCUCUCCAGCCCCAAUAAACUUGUUUUUAAAGGCAACUUAUUUAAAGAAACCCAGGCUUCUUCUGUACCCAUGUUGGGCCAUUCACAACUGCCUGUGGUUUUAGAUCUAGGGAAUCCACUGCCCUCUCCUGGCCCUCUGUACACACCUUAAAACAAGAACCCCAGAUGCUCUACCCAAACACAAGAAGCUGGGUGCAGCCAGCGCUUGCUGCCACCUCCUGGAAGAUCUGUAACACUUAAGGAUUUAGCCAUGAGAUAAGGAAUCCCUAGCUAGCAUAGCCCCCUCUGUUGGUCUGUCCGUUGAGUGCAGCUGUGUGCCUGUGUCGGGCUGUGUCCUGCUGACUGACUGGCUGCUGCUUCCUUCCAGUGUUUGUUUCCUGUAGUUUGUGUUAUCAAGUUGAAAUGCCUACUAUAUGAUGCCAGGUUUAUUCUUUUGUUUCAUUGUCUGGUCUCAGCCUCCAGAAUGCUGGGAUGAUUAACACGUCACACCCCAGGUUCACCAUGGUCAGGACAGUUGGUCCCACUCUGCCCAGCUCUGGGUUCCCAGCACCUCCAUCUCUGGUUGUGCAGUUUCCCAUUGAUCCUCACCACCUGCAGAGCUUUUGAAGCCCAGUCAAUACCUGUGGCCGGAGAAUGCAGUCGUGGUGCAGGUUGCCGCAUCCCUUCCCAGUGCCGGCCUGCAUCUGCUCGGUCCAGGCCCUCCCUGCCCCUGGGUGUUGCCAGCUUGAGUGUGAGGUCUAUGCCCAGAGAAAGAUUCAAGGCACUGAGAAGUGGUCAGUGGUGCUCUGUCGGUCACUUCCCCCAGAAGGUCUCGUACCCGUGGCAUGCGGCUGUGCGAGGGCGUGGUCAGUCCUGAGUGGCAUCUCAGAGCAGGUGGGCGGUGUGUGCACUUUUGUGAUUGACUCAGGCUUCACCCUCUUCUCUCUCUCUUUCUCUCUCUCUCUCUCUCUCUCUCUCUCUCUCUCUCGUUCUCUCCAGGAACUUUUAGGUUGAAAUACGCCCCUCCAGCAGAAAGUCUGGACUCCACGGACUGAUCCUUUUUUUUUUUUUUUGGCAACAGAACAUUUUAUUAAGCCAUGAAAAAUCACAUAGAGAACUGAAGUCAAGUUGCUGUGGCGCCAUGGAGACCUAAGGAAACCACAGAGAGCUGAAGUCGAGUGGCUGUGGAGCUUAAUGUUUUUAACCCAAAGGUGCUUUACUUAACUAUACUGGAGAGAGUCUAGUGUGCAAGUUCGUCAAACUCGAUUUCAUUGCCAAAUUCCUAGUCUUGGAGCUUGGUCCAAGGAUUGCCUAGUGGACAGCGCUAUGGCAUAUCGUGGCCGUCACACCAUCGCUGCAGCGUGAAGACCUGUCUCCUGAAGCUCGGUGGUCCUUCUAGGCUCACGUAAUUCCAGGGCAGCUAUGCACGACCUGAGUCAAGACUGCAGGUCGGGGUUCUCUCAAGUCCCCCAGUCGGAUCCGGGACCCCUUUCUGGGCUAGGAAGCGCCCGCUGGAUUUUGCUGUUUCCUAAAGUAGGAGCCUCCUCUCUGGCUUCUUAAGGAUUGCACUACCUGACACAGGCCUCUGCGGUCUGGGAGGCAGACUCUGCUGGGACCCGACAAUGUAGGGGACUCCCAUCGGUGGGCAUUGGAGUUGGCACCAGCAGGCUGCUCCGCCAAAUACACCCCGAAGUCGAUUGCAGGGUGUUCUGUAGACACUUGGAGCAGUUCCAGGUUUUUAAUAUCUUUUUCUGUAAACAGAUUUACACGAUAUAGUAAAUAAGUCAUAGCGCACUCUCGACAACUUCAUCUGUAAGGGUCCAGGUCCCAGGGGUCCGUUACCGACCGAGGCUGGAGACCACCCCUCCCGCUGGAGGCUUUGAGCCUGCUCUCUCCAAACAAGAACCAACUCUUGAAGACUGGGGGAUGACUCGGCUUUGUGGGUUGGCUGUGACUGACGCGCCUCAUUCUUCCGGAAGCUGGCAAGCUGUUGUCUCAAAUGGCUUCCCCAGGACCCCAGCCCCAGAGCUCACUGCUGAUGGAUUCAGACUUGACACAGACAUCCAGCAGUAAUGCAGACCUGUGAUUCAUGAACAAAAGACUGGAAACUGUCGGCUUCUUUUGUAUUAGGCUAUGUGUUGAUUGUUAAUUCCGUUAAAAUUGCCUGGAAAACUUCAGUAGAGAGAUGCAAGACUCCUCCUCGAAACCGCUCACCAGUUGCAGUCCAGACCGGGGUGGGGGUGGGUCCUCACUCCUCAGCAUGGUGUAAACGUUCGACACACCACAGCGGAGGCAUAAGGGACUUAAACCUCCCUCCGAGGUUAAAGGGAAUUUUAUGCUCAAAUAACAUUAUAAUGCUAAAGCCUUCGGUAUUAGAAAAUCGAUGGUAAUAUUCUGCCAAGGAUUUUCCAGCCUCCUCCUCAUGGAGAAGAAAAAUCAUAGUCCUUAAACAUUCUUCAGACGGGACAGUCACCCUCAUACAGAAUUAGUGUAAAUCACAAAAUGCCCCAGAACUGGAGGCGUUGUGAUCUAAGGCUUCAUCGUAUUCUAAGAUGGCUUUGUCUGUGGAGACCCACGGAAGGCGUGAGUGUUGUGGAUUCUAUGCAAUGCAGGAUCGGGAGACGGCUGUUCUGUCCAUGGCACAGUAUCACAUCUGUUCUGAGGGGAUGUGAUGAGGCGUUAGGGGAUGCUCUGUUGAUCUCUCACUCAGAAACACUACAAACGUCAAUACAAGAACUGACACAACUUUGCCUUAAAGAGCACCAGACUGGGAUUGGUCGUAUUGUGUUAAUAAGGAAGACUUAGAGUGUUCACUGAUGUUUACGAUUUUAAUAUUUCUGAAGGCCAUCACCGUGGCCUGGGUAUGUGCUGAAAGCCAAACUUUUAAAUUUUUUGGUUUUUUUAAACAAAGAAAUAUUUUAAAUAAAUCCUAUUUCAAC
rnacentral:lncRNA from 1 species